rnacentral:rRNA from 1 species
AGUGAACGCUGGCGGUAGGCCUAACACAUGCAAGUCGAACGGCGGCACAGUAAGAGCUUGCUCUUACGGGUGGCGAGUGGCGGACGGGUGAGGAAUACAUCGGAAUCUACUUUUUCGUGGAGGAUAACGUAGGGUAACUUACGCUAAUACCGCAUACGACCUACGGGUGAAAGCAGGGGAUCUUCGGACCUUGCGCGAUUGAAUGAGCCGAUGUCGGAUUAGCUAGUUGGCGGGGUAAAGGCCCACCAAGGCGACGAUCCGUAGCUGGUCUGAGAGGAUGAUCAGCCACACUGGAACUGAGACACGGUCCAGACUCCUACGGGAGGCAGCAGUGGGGAAUAUUGGACAAUGGGCGCAAGCCUGAUCCAGCCAUACCGCGUGGGUGAAGAAGGCCUUCGGGUUGUAAAGCCCUUUUGUUGGGAAAGAAAAGCAGCAGGUUAAUACCCCGCUGUUCUGACGGUACCCAAAGAAUAAGCACCGGCUAACUUCGUG